rnacentral:rRNA from 1 species
CCCUUAGAUGUUCUGGGCCGCACGCGCGCUACACUGAUUCAUGCAACAAGUUUUGUCCUUGGCUGAUAGGCCUGGGUAAUCUUUGAACGUGGAUCGUGAUGGGGAUAGAUGAUUGCAAUUAUUCAUCUUCAACGAGGAAUUCCUAGUAAACGCAAGUCAUCAGCUUGCAUUGAUUACGUCCCUGCCCUUUGUACACACCGCCCGUCGCACCUACCGAUUGAAUGGUCCGGUGAAAUCUUCGGAUCUGAGAGAUGUCUGAUUAAUUUCGGACGCCUUUUGGAAAAGUUGCUUAAACCUUACCAUUUAGAGGAAGGUGAAGUCGUANCA